rnacentral:lncRNA from 1 species
UAUUUUGGCUGCUGUGAAUAGUUUAGUUGGUUUAUGUGGUUCAGUGUUUAUUUACAUUUGAAAAUGUGGAUUUCUGGAUUUUGUAAAAUAAAAGGUUUUCUACCCCUCGUGGUAGCGUUUUUAACGAAUAAAGGUUUCCGCGUAGGGAACAGUUUUCAAAAGAAUUUUUGUGAAUUUCUAUUCAAACACUGAAUGUAAAACUGUGAAUGGUGAAUGUAUGUAUGCAUGUAUACUUAUCGUUAUAUUCAUUUGGUUGUGGUUGUUUCCUGGCUAUACUCUUGUACUUGUACGACGCCGUGCAAAUACAGGGGAGACUCUGUCCGUGUGAACAGUGGAUUCCCUGUAUUUGUGGCGGAUCUGGCAUACUCUGGGGUCAGGUUUGCAAAAAAAAAAAAAAAAAUUUUUCAGACGCUUUUCCGCUAUGUAUUUGUGGCGGAUCUGGCAUACUCUGGGGUCAGGUUUGCAAAAAAAAUUUUCAGACGCUUUUCCGCUAUGUUUUAAACAAAAAGGGACCCCGGGGCGUGACACAAACUUUUAAUUUUUUUCUGAAAGAUUGGAUGGUAGCAAAAUUAACACAUGACAUCAAAUCAAGAGCUCUCCAAUCAGGAUCGUCGGAAGCUUCUCACUGAAAUUUCUCUUCCGAUCACAUCAAUAUGAUCGAUAAAAAAAUCCUACUCAUAAAAUAAAUAAAGUGUAAAAUAUAUAUCCAAAAUAGAAUAUGCGGCUGAUACCGUCGUAUUUUUUUUUAUUUAGUGAAGAGUGGAGUGCGUACUUAUACCGUCCUAUCUUCUAUUUAUUUAUAGUAAAAUAUAAAAAUAUAUAGAAAGUGAGAUAAAAAUAGGUAGGAAGGAGUAAUUUGAUAUAUAUGGCCUUAUCCGUGGAACCAUAUUUGUUACUGCUUCCAAAUUGACAGGGAUCAGAUAACAACACCGCACAUUCUCCUGUCUCUUCCUUCCGUGAAUUUCGAUACCAGCACUGCUAUCCGUACACCAAUAAAGAAUUUCUAUACAUACAAAAUACAGGUCAUAAUUGUUUUAAUCAAUUUUAAAUUUAUAUAAAUUAGUACAUUAUAUUUAUUUAAAAAAUUACAAUAAAAAUUAUAUUUUAUAAAUUUAUACAUUAUAUUUUACUAAAAAAAUAUCCGCAAUAUUCUAUAUUAUCCUUUCAUUUUUUAUAUACAUCGAAUAUUUUUUUUUUGAAUUUUGAUGAAUUCCAAAUUUAAGUAUGUGUUUACAACAAAAGUAUCAAAAUUUAUUUUACAAUUAUCUUAAAAUUUAAAAUUUAAUUUUGAAUUUGAGUUUGUCGACUGACCUAUUUUUUACGAAAAAGAUUUUUUUAUUUCUCUUUUUUCUUACACAAAAUAAUUAACAUAAUGAAACAAACUUUUAAUUCUUUU